AAAGGAGAAAAAAACCCAAACCACAACCUAUUUGCAAUAUAAAGUUUUAAAUCGAGCUUCAGCGCGACAAGGCUUUUACACCCCUUCCCUGGAGAGCUAUUGUCUAAGAGAGCUGAUUUUCUCCCCCUCACUCCCAUCCCUGCUUGACAGUCUUAGAGGCAGCAGUGGCUGAACCUGUUGGCAAGGAACAUUCCACUUCCAGGUGAUCUGGGAAAACAGUCCUGCUGUUGUUGCUGCUUCUAAGAGAGAUGAGGGGGGAAAGAGCCGGCACCGGCUUCUUGUACGUGCACACAUGGUGAAGCUGGAAUGCUCCGUGUUAACCGAGCUGUGCUGAAAAGCUGGGAACUUCGGCUCAGGACCGAAGCGCUUUGUCAGCUGGAGGGCCCUUUCAGAGGAGUUCUUUAAGCCGUGCAGCAUAAUGGAUAAACUGAAAUGACAGACGUGGGGCCAGGGGAGCGCCGGCUGUGCCUUUCCCGGAGCAGCGGAGCGGUUCGACUCUUGCGUAAGCCUGCACGCGCUGCCAGCCCCUCGGGUUGUCUGAAGGGAGCCCUUCAUGUGACCCUCAGCCAUCCCAAACGGACCAAUAUUAAUGUGAGACAUAAAACCUACUCGUUACGUAACCGUCUCUCCCGGCCAAGUGUUUCCUACUGCAGUAACCAAACAUUUUUAAUUUUAACUUGCCGCUAAAAUAAAACCCUCCGUGGGUAGAAGGAAGCGCAUGGGUGGGAACGGGGAGCGCAGGUUAUUCGUGUCCCAGCGUGAUGUGCCAGAAAGAUCAGCGAUGUAUUUUUGUUUGAUUUACGUGGCUGAUUUAGUCUGACAGCAUCUGUUCAAAUGUGCCCCAAGACCCAUGUCAUGCUUUUGCUAAUACAGACAAAAGGAAAAUUGCAAGCUUCGUGAAAUGCUUUUUAAUUAUACCUUUGCUGCCCGGUAAAACAUUGGACUUUAAAGGUGUCCUGAAAACAGUAGUGUAAUUUUAAUUUACUUAGAAAUGCACUGACCUGGCAUUCUGACUUGGUCUGAAGGACAGAGCCAGAAAGUAGAAAAUGCAGUUUCAGCAUUUAAAAACGUGAGAGAAGCAGAUGACUGUCCCUUUGGCCACGUAAGGCAUUAUAGCUGAAACCCCUGAUGUGCCAUAUGGAACCUUACUGUUUUGUGGGAUUGUAGGCUGUUUUGAUGUAGAGAAUUUGUCUGAUAAAUCUUAAAGUCAUCAGGUUUUCCUCUGGC